UUGAACGCUGGCGGCAGGCUUAACACCUGCAAGUCGAGCGGUAGCACAGGGGAGCUUGCUCCCUGGGUGACGAGCGGCGGACGGGUGAGUAAUGUCUGGGAAACUGCCUGAUGGAGGGGGAUAACUACUGGAAACGGUAGCUAAUACCGCAUAACGUCGCAAGACCAAAGAGGGGGACCUUCGGGCCUCUUGCCAUCAGAUGUGCCCAGAUGGGAUUAGCUAGUAGGUGGGGUAAUGGCUCACCUAGGCGACGAUCCCUAGCUGGUCUGAGGGGAUGACCAGCCACACUGGAACUGAGACACGGUCCAGACUCCUACGGGAGGCAGCAGUGGGGAAUAUUGCACAAUGGGCGCAAGCCUGAUGCAGCCAUGCCGCGUGUGUGAAGAAGGCCUUCGGGUUGUAAAGCACUUUCAGCGAGGAGGAAGGUGGUGAGCUUAAUACGCUCAUCAAUUGACGUUACUCGCAGAAGAAGCACCGGCUAACUCCGUG
rnacentral:rRNA from 1 species